UGUAACCUGGACAACACAAAAGUCACAGGCCACAGAUGUACUGUGAGGAAAAACCAGCUCCAACUCAACUUGUGACUUCCUAAAAUAUGAGAAAGGAGAAUGGAAUCUUGGCAUGUUGCCGCACUUUUUUCUUAAAUACAUGAGCUCCAAUACAGGGAACAGUUCCAAGAGGAUCCAGCUGCUUCAGAGAAGUUCAAUAACGUUAGUCCGUGGGAAACCACGGUCCUCGCAACAAUCUUAAACAUGUGCACAAUUAGCAUAACAGCUCUAAAGAUAAUCUUAUCAGAUAAUCCUACCGUGUGUGGUGUGUUACGAGCGCUCUUGUCUGCUCAGAAGGAUGUCAUAAAUCUGGUCUUACAAAAACAUUGGAUUGUCUGAUUUUCUAGGACAAAUGAACAUGCUGGCUGUUUGAUGUCACAUGUACGUGUUUAGAGAUUUGUUGCACACUGUAGGUUCGAAACUGGUCUAUUCAUGAUAUUUUAUCACCACGUGUGUGGUCUCUAAUGCUUUGAAGAAUGCUGCUGUGUGUCAUGGGCUGAGGUGAGCUCAUCCUCUAAUCUGCAUCAGCAUUCAUUCCAGGUGAGCGGUGUCUGAAUGGGACCAGCUGCAGCAGAUCCAUCAUCAGCCACUGCUGGAGGAAGACCAAUAAUCAACGCUGGUUGAUUACUCCACACGGAUGCAGCUCGACUACACCCCUUCAGCCAAGCUCCUGGACCUCUCUUCAGCCUGCAUCUUCCUUCCCUCAGUCCCGUUCACCACUGCUCAUCCACCCCCCUCUGGAACCCUUACCUCGACCCCACUGGACACUUGGAUCCUGCCUCCUCAGAUCUAACAGACCUCUUUACAAACCAUCUCCCCAGCAGCACAGUCCAGUUCUCCCCCUCACCCCAGCAUCUCCCAGUUUGGGACGUCCUUAGUUGAGCACAGAUG